CCUCUCAGGAAAGCUUUUUGCUCGAAUUAUGUUUCUCAUUCAAAUAUAAGACGAACAAAAGGUUUGUCUGAGGGCUG
rnacentral:pre_miRNA from 1 species